rnacentral:misc_RNA from 1 species
AUCAUUUCUUCAGGAUAGGUUCUCUCACUAGGGUUAAUAGAACUACCAGAAAUGUCCAAGUAUGCCUCAGGCAAAAUUGGGGGACCAUUAUCAAUAGGCUUUCCAGAACCAUUAAAAAUGCGCCCAAGCAUAUCCAAUGAGACAGGAGUCUUCAGAACCUCUCCUGUAAAUUGCACAGUUGUGUAUUUGUUGUCAAUCCCAGAUGUUCCUUCAAAAACCUGAACAACUGCCUUCUCCCCAUCAACUUCAAGGACUUGACCACGGCGGGUUGUUCCAUCCCCUAAACGAAUAUUAACAAUCUCUUGAUAUUUUGGUCCCUUAACCUUAUCAAGUAUAACAAGAGCUCCAGCAACUCCAGAUACAGUUCUGUCCUCCAUGCCGAUCUCUAGCGUUCCCUCCU